rnacentral:rRNA from 1 species
UUUCCGGUUGAUCCUGCCGGACCUGACUGCUAUCGGAUUGAUACUAAGCCAUGCGAGUCUUUGUAGUAAUACAAGGCAGACGGCUCAGUAACACGUAGUCAACCUACCCUAUGGACAAGAAUAAUCUCGGGAAACUGGGCAUAAUUCUUGAUAGAUCAUAAUGCCUGGAAUGGUUUAUGGUUAAAAUGAUUCGUCGCCAUAGGAUGGGACUGCGGCCUAUCAGCUUGUUGGUGAGGUAAUGGCCCACCAAGGCGAUUACAGGUACGGGCUCUGAGAGGAGAAGCCCGGAGAUGGGUACUGAGACACGGACCCAGGCCCUAUGGGGCGCAGCAGGCGAGAAAACUUUGCAAUGUGCGAAAGCACGACAAGGUUAAUCCGAGUGAUUUCUGCUAAAGAAAUCUUUUGCCAGUCAUAAAACCACUGGUGAAUAAGGGGUGGGCAAGUUCUGGUGUCAGCCGCCGCGGUAAAACCAGCACCUCAAGUGGUCAGGAUGAUUAUUGGGCCUAAAGCAUCCGUAGCCGGCUUUGUUAGUUUUCGGUUAAAUCCAUGUGCUCAACGCAUGGGCUGCCGAAAAUACUGCAUGGCUAGGGAGUGGGAGAGGUAGACGGUACUCAGUAGGAAGGGGUAAAAUCCUUUGAUCUAUUGAUGACCACCUGUGGCGAAGGCGGUCUACCAGAACACGUUCGACGGUGAGGGAUGAAAGCUGGGGGAGCAAACCGGAUUAGAUACCCGGGUAGUCCCAGCUGUAAACGAUGCAGACUCGAUGAUGCAUUGGCAUAAUAGCCAGUGCAGUGUCGCAGGGAAGCCGUUAAGUCUGCCGCCUGGGAAGUACGUACGCAAGUAUGAAACUUAAAGGAAUUGGCGGGGGAGCACCACAAGGGGUGAAGCCUGCGGUUCAAUUGGAUUCAACGCCGGG